AAGAUACUUCCUCCAUCCCAAAAUUCUUGUCUUAGACUCGUCUAGAUACGGAUGUAUCUAAUACUAAAACAUGAGUUAAUACAUCCAUAUUUAGACAAAUCAAAGACAAGAAUUUAGGGACUGAGGGAGUAUAUG
rfam:Triticum aestivum genome assembly, contig: Triticum_aestivum_CS42_TGACv1_scaffold_641245_T_1BL-0.100314_5BL-0.052584